rnacentral:rRNA from 1 species
AGUCGAGCGAGGUUACUGCGACAGAUUCCUUCGGGAAGAAGUUGCUUUAACCUAGCGGCGGACGGGUGAGUAACGCGUGGGCAACCUACCCUAAAGUCUGGGAUAACAGCGGGAAACUGCUGCUAAUACCGGAUAGCUUUAACCGGGGGCAUCUUCGGUUAAAGAAAGAAGCGAUUCGCUUUAGGAUGGGCCCGCGUCCCAUUAGCUGGUUGGUGAGGUAACGGCUCACCAAGGCGACGAUGGGUAGCCGGCCUGAGAGGGUGAACGGCCACACUGGGACUGAGACACGGCCCAGACUCCUACGGGAGGCAGCAGUAGGGAAUAUUGCGCAAUGGAGGG